rnacentral:lncRNA from 1 species
AGGGAGGGGAGAGAAGCGGAGCCCUUCGGAUUUUAAAGUAAAGGUCUAAUUAUCCUCCCCCUGCCACAGUAUCGCGGGGAGAAAAGGCAAACUGAAACCCGCAGUCACUUCAAACGGGCUGAUUGUUUUGCUUCGGCAUUAACUCCUCCAGAUUUGUUUAAGAUCCCGUUAGAAAAUCUCAUUUGCAUGUUUUUAUAACAGCUACAGGGAAACUUGUUGCAAACAAACAAUAAAAAAAUCCACAACUAUCACAAUCAACCCCCCGGCCGGCCGUUUCCUGCUGUUCUAGCGGUUCUUUGGGGGGAGCGCAGGGCCAGACCGAGAGAAGAGCAGGAGAGCAGGCAGGUCGAGGCAGCCUUUGGCUCCGCCGCCAGCCCAUUAAAGGAUGCCGUAAAACAACCAGCACGAAAAUCGCGGGUGGCGCUCCCACGCCUCUGCUGCGGACUGAGGACUGCUGCGGGGAUCCAGAAAGCACCACGUCCAUCCGAAGCGCUGCUUGGCUUCCGCAGUCCCGGGGUCGGCAGCAGUAGAAACUUCACCCGAGAGGCUCGAUUGAAGGGAAAGAAAGGCUCCGCGCCGGAGUGGAUGAUUUCUGGGCUCCAAAGGGCCACAGUUAGCCCAGAACUUCCAGCCCCGAUCUGGGAAAAGAACAUUUGAUGCCAUCAAAGGGCUGCAGAUUGAAACCAGAUGUGCUCGCCUCGCUCUUUCCAUGCAUUCAAUUAAGGAGCCAGGACGAGGAGGCUUUUUCACCAAUGCCCUUCGCGACAAGGGUCUGGCCCCUGGCACCCGUUUGCCCUGAAGACCAGGGAGCCCCGUCAGUGGGGGAGGAAGUGGCCUUGUCCCUGCAGUCAGCACGGUUGGCGACGACGCGGGACCGUGACGGGGUGGGCACAGAUUAUGAAUUAUCAUUUUUAAAAGUCAGGACGACACUACAGGGAAACUCAGGACAAGACAGAGAGCAGCGCAUUUACUCCAGAAAGGACAGAAGGGCUGAAGGAGGCCUUCACAGCACGCUGGGAGCCAGCACUGCCACCAGUGUACUGGCUUUCGACUGGCAUCUGAAGGUAGCUUUCCAACCAUUCGUUCUGCCUACUCCCUUUUUAAAAAUCUCCCAUUUGGGGAUUCCUCCCCAAGAAAGUAGAAGCAAAGCUGGGACCAACAAGGAAAGUUGCCAAGAGAUGAGACCAAGGCUGGGAGGCCCAGCGCAUGAAGUUGGGUGCUGUUUUCAUUUCACUGGGCCUAUUUGCUCCUUAAAUCCCUGGAGACUGCAUGAACCAUUGAAACAGCUUUAGCUAAAGAUACAGUGACCUGCACACUGACUCGCAAUAAAUGCUCCUCAGACCUUAUUCUGCUAAAUGUCUCUGUAUAACUGAUAAUACCUGUAAUGAUCACUCUCUUUGAAAUUUCUUCUCCUAUUAACUGACCAGUUCCUUUCUGUCUUCAUUGAGGAUUUCUUUCUCUCAACUGAUGAUAUUCUCCAGGGUUCUGUCUACCAUCCUCAUUGUCCUUCAGAAUAAAUAGGUUGUUUUUAGAAGAGCUCAUAUAUAUACAUGGGUAAACGACUGCUUGUUUAUCAAUGAGUCUAAAACCUAAAUCUUAAGCUUGGUCA